rnacentral:misc_RNA from 1 species
GAAAAACCACACUAAUGGUCAAGUUUAAGAAUAAGACAUCUCUAGUUUUUUACAUCACAACACCUAGCACCCUUUUCACUAUAAAUAACCCUGUUUAAGCAACAUCAAUACUAAUCUAUAAUCAACUUUUCACUCUUUUAACAGCUAAACCUCUAUCUCUCCAGCUAUUUUACAAUGUUGGUUGGAUGCCUUCUGAAUGGUAUCUGUAGAAUACACCAGGGUUUUUGAAGACUAAGGAGAUAUACAUGGACAAUAUCUGCUGCAUUUUCAAUCAAUUUAUGAAUGCAUCAGCAAUGGUAUAUGACCGAGCAUUAAAUAUAGGCAAGUGAGCUCCGGUCAUGAUCUGGUUGUGGACGGCCUCUAGUAGGAGUAGGCGGUCUUUGAAUGUUGAGUUCCUGCAUCCAAGUGUCAUCCAUGACUCGUUCUGGAGACGUUUCAGGGGAUAGAAGAGGAGGCGGCAAAGGAUGGAUCAACUUUGGAACAACAACCAACCCUCUGCCUACAACUAGUAUAGCACCAGCAUUGUUGGCAGUUCCACAAUAGUUGGUGGCAGAAAAAAGAGUGAUCAGCUGCCCUUGGGCAAAUCUUUCAAAUCCAUCCAUGACACACUCGUGUGCUCUAAUAAUCAGCUGUAGUUUGUUUCUCUUACAAAAUUCAGUUACACGAUCAGGCCCAAAUGUUACAAGACCAGGUCCUCUGGCAUUAGGUCUUAAUCCUUCUACACUGUCAUUUUC